rnacentral:rRNA from 1 species
GAUCCUGGCUCAGGAUGAACGCUGGCGGCGUGCUUAACACAUGCAAGUCGAACGGGAAACAUUUCAUUGAGGCUUCGGCGGAUUUAGUCUGUUUCUAGUGGCGGACGGGUGAGUAACGCGUGGGUAACCUGCCUUAUACUGGGGGAGUAACAGCCAGAAAUGACUGCUAAUACCGCAUAAGCGCACAGAACCGCAUGGUUCGGUGUGAAAAACUACCGGUGGUAGUAAGAUGGACCCGCCGUUGGAUUAG